AGUUGCAUUCAUGCAUUGCAUUAGUAGUAUUUGUGUGUGUCUAUGCUUGAGGACAAGCAUCGGUUUAAGUUUGGGGGUGUGAUAAGUGGAUUUUAUAUCCACUUGGAAUGCCUUCGUUUCGACUUAAAUUGAUGGUUUGGCCUCAAGUAUGUGGUGUUUUUGAUGUGUUCUUGUGGUGUUGUGUAGGUUUCCUAGGAGGAGGAUAAAGGGUGGAUUAAAGGCUAAAAGGUGAAAGAAACGGCGUAAGGAUCGAGCGAGCAAGGAAGGAGAAAAGGGAAGGAAGGUUCCAAGAGCGUUCGGGGCUGCCCAAAUGGGGUCUCCACCCCAUUUACGGGGUCUCCACCCCGUUCUGAAGAAGAAAAAUCUGCCAAGAUGGGGUCUCCACCCCACUGAUGGGGUCUCCACCCCACUUCAGCAGAAUAGAGGCUGCCAUGACAGGGUCUCCACCCCACUGACGGGGUCUCCA
rnacentral:lncRNA from 1 species